rnacentral:rRNA from 1 species
AACGCGAAGAACCUUACCUGGGCUAGACAACGGUGGACAGCCUAUGAAAGUAGGUCUUCCCUUCGGGGACUGCCGGUUCAGGUGUUGCAUGGCUGUCGUCAGCUCGUGUCGUGAGAUGUUGGGUUAAGUCCCGCAACGAGCGCAACCCUUGUCUCAUGUUGCCAGCGCGUUAUGGCGGGGACUCGUGAGAGACUGCCGGGGUCAACUCGGAGGAAGGUGGGGAUGACGUCAAGUCAUCAUGCCCCUUAUGUCCAGGGCUUCACACAUGCUACAAUGGCCGGUACAAAGGGCUGCGAUGCCGUGAGGUUAAGCGAAUCCUUUAAAGCCGGUCUCAGUUCGGAUCGGGGUCUGCAACUCGACCCCGUGAAGUCGGAGUCGCUAGUAAUCGCAGAUCAGCAACGCUGCGGUGAAUACGUUCCCGGGCCUUGUACACACCGAGUAUA